rnacentral:rRNA from 1 species
UACGGAGGGGGCUAGCGUUGUUCGGAAUUACUGGGCGUAAAGCGCACGUAGGCGGCUUUGUAAGUUAGAGGUGAAAGCCCGGGGCUCAACUCCGGAAUUGCCUUUAAGACUGCAUCGCUAGAAUUGUGGAGAGGUAAGUGGAAUUUCCAGUGUAGAGGUGAAAUUCGUAGAUAUUCGGAAGAACACCAGUGGCGAAGGCGACUUACUGGACACAUAUUGACGCUGAGGUGCGAAAGCGUGGGGAGCAAACAGG